rnacentral:tRNA from 1 species
GCCCCUCUGGCCCAACUGGCAGAGGCGCUCCGUUCAGUGCGGAGAGGUUCCCGGUUCGAAUCCGGGGAGGGGUACAA